ACCAAUAGGAUUCAGAGUAAAGUAUUACAAAAAGUAAAAUAGUUUUUUUUCAUCAUUCUAGCAUCUAUGGCUAUAUUCAUGGCAAGAACCAGUAAAUAUAUACACAAGUUCAUCUAUACACAAAUUGGGAAAGGAAAAUUUGGCAUCUGAGAUUCACCUAACCUGCAUGUCUUUGAGGAAACCGGAGUACCCGGAGGAAACCCAUGCUGACACAGGGAGAACAUGCAAACGCCACAUAAACCUCCUGAUCCAGCCAGGGUUUGAACUAUGGGCCAUGGAACAUCAAGGAUGAUAAUGAUGAGGAGUAACACAACAUGAUGGAUGAAACAUUACGGUUUACCAGCAAACAUCAGGAGACCUGUGCUGAAACAGCAGAAGCACACAGCACAAGACUGUAAAGAUGAAAGCCAAGCUGACUUCACACAGGCAACUAAAUCAAAACCAGAGCAGCACAGCAGUCAGUUUGUUUUACUGAAGCUGAUGUUGUGUUCUUACAUUAACUGUUUACAAUACAGAUCUAUUCCUCUAAAUUUCAUGUUUAAUUUUUUAUGUGAACUCAAACUGAUUUACUUUAUGUGUGGUCCUCUUCCUAUAGUGAAUGAUUAAUUAUUGCACAUUCAUUUAAAGAAAAGCUUGUUUUCGUAAAACUUUUAAAUGCCAAAAUUAAAUAUAAAAAUAUAAAUUUCUUGUUAAAUGUAUCAUUUAAAAUACAUUUAUGCAAUUA